CUCUUGUAGAUCAAAGGACCCUUUAAAGAGGGAGGAGCUGAUUCCCCUGGAAAUAACUUCUGCUCAGCACAGGGCUUUCAUGUAAGCCCCAGCUUAGUGUGCAGUUAUUGGAUUUGUAUGAAGCUUUUCACACAAGCAGCUUCAGAGAGAACGAAGUCACCAAGUGAAAGAAAUGGAAAAUCAAAAGAUGAUAAGAUAAAGGCAUCUCUGCAGCUGACUUGAUCUGGGUCCAUAAAAACCUGCAUGGGGAGAUUUGUGAGAGGAUGGGGUUCCUUCAUCUGUCACACGAAGACACUACGUGGGGCAAGGCGUGGAGGUUCAAGUUUGCAAACUUAGAGCUGGAAAGCAGGCACUUGUUUUUAACUGGGAGACCAACUGUUGUAGCAGUAACUUCUCUUGAGUGAUGGAGCUGGGACUCUGAAAAGCCUUGAAAAGCAACUCCAGAAGUCUGAUGCUGUUAGGAAGCAGAUCCUGCAGGGCUGCGCAAGCAUCAGCUCAGGAGAAUGAUUUUUCCUGUGGCUUCCAGGAUGGAUGUCUGUGUAUAUAUGAGGCACUUGUGUAAGUACUACUCGUGUUUCUGCAUCUUGUCUUCAAGGUCAGGCAGCAGCUUCUGCUCUCGUGCAGGUCCUGUGCUGACGAAUGGGAGAACUGCUAAUGUAGAGGUCAGAAAACAAACAGAACUAAUCUGAAACAUUAAGCUGGCUGUGCAAAACAUGUUUUCCUAGUCUGCACACUGCAGAGCCAGUGUGUCAUGAAAGAUUGAAACUUUUUCCCUAUCUCACUCAUAAAAAAAUAAAUAUCUACAUUUCUUGUGAGAAAGGUGACCUCAGAUUUAGCUGUCUCAGGGAAGGAAUGCCAAAUUGGAAGAUCACCUGUCAUGAUGUCCUUUUGCUGAUUGCUGUCUUAAACUGAGCAUUUUAUAAAUGCUGAUGGGGAUUUGCACCAUCAGCCUCUCCACUUUAAGGUAAUAUUUCUAGAUAUAUCUUCCAAGACAGUGCUGGAUGCUGCUGUGUAAUUUGUUGUUUUCUGGCUACGGCUUCGUGUGUACUCCUGCUCAUGUGAUACUUCAUAAUUACUCCUUGUUUGUGGUUGCCUGGUUUUGUGUGUAGUCCCUCGAGGGGUGAUGAGCCUAGAAGGCACAAACACAGGCUUUGCAAAGGGAAUUUUAAACUACAUUUUCUUCAUUGCUGCACAGUGCUACGGAGUUAGAAAUCUCUUCAAAACACCCAGAGUCCUUAUAUGCAAGUGCUUUCAUCUGAUCUUGCCUUUUUCAUAGUCUGAAAUUGUGCCUGGGUACCAAAUCUGACAGCCUGGCCAUCCUUCUCCAGCAAGCUCUCUCUGCAUGUGACAGUAGAUGCUACCCUCGAGCCGUCUCACUAAUCAUCCUCCACAUCCAGUCUCUCUCCUCUUUGAUGUACGCCCGAGCUGAACAGCUGGAGCUCAUCCUUGCACUUGGCUUUUGGGUAGAGAGCUCAUGGGUGUUGUCGUGACUAAAGGCAACAGAUGCUGUUUCAUGCGCAGAUGUGACUGCGCUGUGGCUUUCUCCUCGUGUUCGUUCACGAUGACAAUCACAAUGUUAACACCUCUCCCAGAGCUGAUGCUCGUUUCAGGUGAAGUUCAUGGAUUGACUGCAUUGUCCUGAUUGACUUCUCAGCACGGAUUGCGGAUCAGUGCUCAGCUGCCUAUGCACAGGUACGGAAGGUGGAAGGGAAUUAUAACGUAGUGCAAGCUCACUCUGCUCUAUCACACAGCAUUGUCUCUCCACCAAACCCUCCCCACUCCUUGACAGGACUGGUACCAAGAAAUUGCACAUCCCUAAUUAGUCAGUUCAAUUGAUACUACUGGUACCAACAAACAACCAGUAUCCUGACUUACGGGCAUGGAAGUCCUGCAGUUCUGGCAAGCUGUUUCAGCGUUCCCUGUUGCUGAAGCACAAGAAAAAAGCAAAAACCCAGAAUCAGUAUGAUCCUGUUUUGUCUGUCAAGGGCCCCUGUGAUCACAGAGCAUAUUUCUCACCCUGCUCAACAUUUGCUGCGGGAAGAACUGACACAAGUUGGCAAGGACAGCACCAGCCCCUCCUUCCCACUCCUUACCCAAGCAGUACCAUGAGCAAAUUCAAAUACUCUUUGAUAAAGUGAACCAAGAUGUGAUCACAGCAAAACCCUGGUGCUGUUUUGCAUUCCUCCCCACAGUGUUAAUGACAGCCUGUGGUGUGAGGCGAGGCGAAGCCCAUCCCUCAGAGAAGCUGAGCACGUUGCUAGGGCAGAUCUAUACGGCUUCCUGCUUCCACUGAUGGAAUUGUGUUUUACCUCGGCUCCCCAGGGGCAGCAGGGACCUGGCUGAGGACGUAAUCUACAAGCCAUGUGUGGUAUAAUUUAAUAUUCGUGCUAUGGUCCCAGGAUUAAAUUGGUGCCUGAUGCCUACAACUCAGAUUGGAUUUGGUGGAAGUGAAAGGCUCUUGGUCCUUCUGGGAGCGAGCCCAGCACACAGCGAGGUAUCACACAGCACAGUUAGCGGGCAUGAUGCAUGCGUGAGUGCCUGUGGUUUAAUGGGUGGCUGCACAGAGAUAUUCCCUGUGCUGCUAUUUGGAUGCCCACCAUGCCUACAGUUAAGAACUCGGGAAAAAAAAUAUCAUUUUUCAUGAUCUCUUAUAUCCAAUGAGAAGAGGCAUCUUUCCAUUAUAAUUUGCCUUACAAUGAUGCUUCUUUCUACCAUAUAGAACAUGAUUUCCAGAAAAGUGUAAGUCCUUACUCAAGACAUCUUACAAUUCAAGGAGAGGCACAGAGAGAGAAUAGAAAAAAGGAAAUGAGAAAGAAUGGGGAUUUUUUUGUGGUUGGUUGCAGAUGGUUUGAUUCAGCAGGAUGGAAGACAUUGUGUGGCGAGGGGGCAGGAGCUGGAGUUGCCCGUCUAAUGCCCAGUCCAGUCUUGUGUUUCUUUGUGAGCUCGCUGUGAUGAGCUGUCUCGAAGUAGUGUUCACAAAGGAUAUAAAUAAAGAUGUGACUCAGUCUUGCAGUCUCUGUCCCACCUCUGCUCACGAGCUGCCUGCUGGUGGACCCAACACACCAGCAACACCCACCAUUGACAAGCUUGUGUCUGAGCAGCAGUUCAAGUGUUUUCAGAGAACAGGGGAUCUUUUGGCUUUUUGGGUUGGGAAAUCAUGGCAAUAGCUGUUUUCAAUGUUGAAAAUGUUCACAUGUGGUCCCUGACCAGGAAGGGCUUUUCUUGUAUUUCCAAGGAAGUGGCAGAGUGGAGGUAAAUAGA